AAACAUGGCCUUUGGAGAAAAUAAAAGGUCCAACCUGCCCACUGAGAAUUAAAGGGCCGCGGUAAUUUGACCGUGCAAAGGUAGCAUAAUCAUUAGUCUCUUAAUUGGAGGCUAGCAUGAACGGUUAGACGAAAUAAAAGCUGUCUCAAUAUAAUAAAUGAAUUUUACUUUUUAGUGAAAAGGCUAGAAUGAAGUUGGAGGACGAGAAGACCCUAUAGAUCUUGAUAAAAUUAAUUUUAAGGAUUUGGUAAAAUUAGGGAUAAGAAAGCGUUUUAUUUGGUUGGGGUGAUUAUAAAAUAAAUAAACUUUUUUUACGAAAACAAUUUGUCUGGGUAAAAGAUCCAUUUUAAUGAUUAUAAGAUUAAGUUACCUUAGGGAUAACAGCAUAAUCUUUCUGGAGAGUUCUAAUCGAUAGAAAGGAUUGUGACCUCGAUGUUGGAUUAGAAUGGGGUUUAGGCGCAGAAGCUUAAAUUACCAAGUCUGUUCGACUUUUAAAAUUCUACGUGAUCU
rnacentral:rRNA from 1 species